CCCUUAGAUGUUCUGGGCUGCACGCGCGUUACACUGAAGCGUUCAACGAGUAUUCACCUUGCCCGGGAGGGUUGGGUAAUCUUUUGAAAACGCUUCGUGAUGGGGAUAGAUUAUUGCAAUUAUUAAUCUUCAACGAGGAAUUCCUAGUAAGCGCGAGUCAUCAGCUCGUGCUGAUUACGUCCCUGCCCUUUGUACACACCGCCCGUCGCUCCUACCGAUUGAAUGGUCCGGUGAAGCCUCCGGAUUGGCGCGCACCUCGGUGCCGCCGAGAAGUUGGCUAAACCUUACCAUUUAGAGGAAGGUGAAGUCGUAACA
rnacentral:rRNA from 1 species